AUAUUUACCUGCAGGGGAUGAUCAUGAAGGUGGUUUUUCCAGGACGAGGCUUAUCCAUUGCACUUUGGAUGUGCUGACCCCUGCCAUUUUGCUGACUGUGGGAAACUCAACUGCAUACUUUCACUGGAGACAUUAAAAUUCUUCC
rnacentral:snRNA from 1 species